UUGGUACAAAAAUAAAAAUUAUUUUUAAAGAUUCAAAUGUUACUUUUGCUUCUUGAUUCUAUUGAAGUUUUUCUUUAUAAAUCAAAGAUAUAAGUAGAGCUGCAAUUUGAGAGAAGUUCUUGAUGAAAAUUUGAUAGUACUUGAUAAAUCUAAAAAAGCAUUGAACAUCUCUUAUCAUUAUUAUAAUACGUGAAGUCUUGCUUGAGAAUGCUCUAUGCACUUAAUUGUGGAAGGUAGAAUAGAAAUUGUAACAAUAAAAUCUUAAUUCUAACAGAAUACUAAUUAAAUUCUAAUUAGACCAUAACAAUGUUAAGCAAGCUUUAAUAAAAUUCAAAGAAAUCUCAAAGGAAUUAUAAAGAAACAAUAAAAAAUCUUAAAGAAAUAUUAAAAUGAUCACAAAUAUAUCUCAAAUACACCUCAAUUCAAUCUUAAUUUAAUCCUAGUCAAAAUCUUGUUGGACUUCAUUCAAAGUUUAGGCCAAAAACUAACUAAAUCUUAAACCUUAAUAAAAUCUUACAUCCUAAAUCAAAUCCUAAUCAAAUCCUAAAUUCUAAAUCAACUUCUAAUCAAAUCCUAAUUCUAAAUUAAAUCCUAAUCAAACCCUAAAUCUUAAAUCAAAUCCUAAAUCUUAAACCAAAUCCUAACCAAAUCCUAAUCCUAAAUCAAAUUCUAACCAAACUCUAAUUCUAAAUCAAAUCCUAAUCAAAUCUUAAAUCCUAAAUCAAAUCCUAAUCAAAUCCUAAAUCCUAAAUUAAAUCCUAAUCAAAUCCUAAUCCUAAAUCAAAUCCUAAUCAAAUCCUAACUCUAAAUCAAAUCCUAACCAAA
rnacentral:lncRNA from 1 species